rnacentral:rRNA from 1 species
UCGCAUGAAGCAGUGUGAAAAACUCCGGUGGUAUGAGAUGGACCCGCGUCUGAUUAGCUGGUUGGUGGGGUAACGGCCUACCAAGGCGACGAUCAGUAGCCGACCUGAGAGGGUGACCGGCCACAUUGGGACUGAGACACGGCCCAAACUCCUACGGGAGGCAGCAGUGGGGAAUAUUGCACAAUGGGGGAAACCCUGAUGCAGCGACGCCGCGUGAGUGAAGAAGUAUUUCGGUAUGUAAAGCUCUAUCAGCAGGGAAGAAAAUGACGGUACCUGACUAAGAAGCCCCGGCUAACUACGUGCCAGCAGCCGCGGUAAUACGUAGGGGGCAAGCGUUAUCCGGAUUUACUGGGUGUAAAGGGAGCGUAGACGGCAAGGCAAGUCUGAAGUGAAAGCCCGGGGCUUAACCGCGGGGCUGCUUUGGAAACUGUCUGGCUGGAGUGCCGGAGAGGUAAGCGGAAUUCCUAGUGUAGCGGUGAAAUGCGUAGAUAUUAGGAGGAACACCAGUGGCGAAGGCGGCUUACUGGACGGUAACUGACGUUGAGGCUCGAAAGCGUGGGGAGCAAACAGGAUUAGAUACCCUGGUAGUCCACGCCGUAAACGAUGAGUGCUAAGUGUUGGAGGGUUUCCGCCCUUCAGUGCUGCAGCUAACGCAU